GACCAAACGAAGUUUUAUUAAAUCAUGUAAUUUAAUAUGGUAAAGUUCUAUUUCUUAUAUACUAUUUUAAUCCUACUUUACAUGUCUCAGUAGUAAUUUUCCCCCCUGUUAGAAUGAGUGUCAUUGGGAUGUAAUAAAAAACUACACUUCCCUACAAGCCAUUUACAGGAAGUGACAUCAUUUGGAGGCAUUUUCAAACUGUGGAAACUGAGGAAAUGGCACCACCACUGAGUGCAGCUGAGAUGCAACGGCGAUACAGGGCCAAGCGAGAUGCUGACCCAGAGAGAAGAGCAAUGUACCUGCAGAAAGAAAGAGAGAAGUAGAAGCAAGACAAGGCAUCAGGAAGAAAGAAAGGAAUAUCAGAUAUGACAGAGAGAGAGAAGCGGGCUCAGAGAAAAAAGUGGAGGGAGAGAAAGAGAGAGGCAAAAGCCAGGGAGAAAGCCAGAGCAGCAAUACCACCCAAUACCACCGGUGAUCCUACUCCUGAUACUGCAACAGACACCUCACCCCCAACUAAUACUCAUGCUUCACCUGAACAUUCCAGGCAAAGAAAGUUGGGGAACCAGCAGAGAAGCCGCAAUAAAAAAAGGCUGGAAAGAGAAAUUGAAAAGCUUAAAGCCCUCCUGAAAAAAGAAAAGUCAAGAAAGGAGAAAUACCGAAAGAGAUGGCAACGAAGCCAGUCCAAACCACAUCAGUCCCCUCUGGCAAAACUGAAUCAAGUUCUACAACGCACGGUCCCACAACCGUUACGCAGGGAACUUCUAUUCCAUGCAACAGUUGUGGAAGAAAUACGGAGAAAAUAUAAAAACACAAAAAAGAGAGAGAGAAGCAGAUGCUUGUUGUUGUUUUUAUUAUUGUUAAAAUGGCUAAAUUGAAACGUAUGCCAUACCGCAGAUGAAAUGAAAUAUG